GUGUGGUUAUCGUGUAAGUCGCUCUGGAUAAGAGUGUCUGCUAAAUGACUCAAA
rfam:Salmo salar isolate Sally breed double haploid chromosome ssa13, whole genome shotgun sequence.